ACCUAGCGGCGGACGGGUGAGUAAUGCUUAGGAAUCUGCCUAUUAGUGGGGGACAACAUUCCGAAAGGAAUGCUAAUACCGCAUACGCCCUACGGGGGAAAGCAGGGGAUCUUCGGACCUUGCGCUAAUAGAUGAGCCUAAGUCAGAUUAGCUAGUUGGUGGGGUAAAGGCCUACCAAGGCGACGAUCUGUAGCGGGUCUGAGAGGAUGAUCCGCCACACUGGGACUGAGACACGGCCCAGACUCCUACGGGAGGCAGCAGUGGGGAAUAUUGGACAAUGGGCGCAAGCCUGAUCCAGCCAUGCCGCGUGUGUGAAGAAGGCCUUUUGGUUGUAAAGCACUUUAAGCGAGGAGGAGGCUACUUGGAUUAAUACUCUAGGAUAGUGGACGUUACUCGCAGAAUAAGCACCGGCUAACUCUGUGCCAGCAGCCGCGGUAAUACAGAGGGUGCGAGCGUUAAUCGGAUUUACUGGGCGUAAAGCGUGCGUAGGCGGCUUUUUAAGUCGGAUGUGAAAUCCCUGAGCUUAACUUAGGAAUUGCAUUCGAUACUGGGAAGCUAGAGUAUGGGAGAGGAUGGUAGAAUUCCAGGUGUAGCGGUGAAAUGCGUAGAGAUCUGGAGGAAUACCGAUGGCGAAGGCAGCCAUCUGGCCUAAUACUGACGCUGAGGUACGAAAGCAUGGGGAGCAAACAGGAUUAGAUACCCUGGUAGUCCAUGCCGUAAACGAUGUCUACUAGCCGUUGGGGCCUUU
rnacentral:rRNA from 1 species